AGUGAACGCUGGCGGCAGGCCUAACACAUGCAAGUCGAACGGCAGCACAGUAAGAGUUUGCUCUUACGGGUGGCGAGUGGCGGACGGGUGAGGAAUACAUCGGAAUCUACUUUUUCGUGGGGGAUAACGUAGGGAAACUUACGCUAAUAUCGCAUACGACCUACGGGUGAAAGCAGGGGAUCUUCGGAUCUUGCGCGAUUGAACUAGCCGAUGUCGGACUUGCUAGUUGGCGGGGUAAAGGCCCACCAUGGCGACGAUCCGUAUCUGGUCUGAGAGGAUGAUCGGCCACCCUGGAACUGAGACACGGUCCAGACUCCUACGGGAGGCAGCAGUGGGGAAUAUUGGACAAUGGGCGCAAGCCUGAUCCAGCCAUACCGCGUGGGUGAAGAAGGCCUUCGGGUUGUAAAGCCCUUUUGUUGGGGAAGAAAAGCAGCAGGUUAAUACCCCGCUGUUCUGACGGUACCCAAAAAAUAAGCACCGGCUAACUUCGUG
rnacentral:rRNA from 1 species